GUCGAACGGCAGCAUGGGUGCUUGCACCUGAUGGCGAGUGGCGAACGGGUGAGUAACAUAUCGGAACAUGUCCGGAAGUGGGGGAUAACGUACCGAAAGGUACGCUAAUACCGCAUAUGCCCUGAGGGGGAAAGGGGGGGAUCGAAAGACCUCUCGCUUUCGGAGUGGCCGAUAUCGGAUUAGCUAGAUGGUGAGGUAAAGGCUCACCAUGGCGACGAUCCGUAGCUGGUCUGAGAGGACGACCAGCCACACUGGAACUGAGACACGGUCCAGACUCCUACGGGAGGCAGCAGUGGGGAAUUUUGGACAAUGGGGGCAACCCUGAUCCAGCCAUACCGCGUGAGUGAAGAAGGCCUUCGGGUUGUAAAGCUCUUUCAGCCGGAAAGAAAACGUGCGGGUUAAUAACCCGUAUGGAUGACGGUACCGGAAGAAGAAGCACCGGCUAACUACGUGCCAGCAGCCGCGGUAAUACGUAGGGUGCGAGCGUUAAUCGGAAUUACUGGGCGUAAAGCGUGCGCAGGCGGCUUUUUAAGCCAGAUGUGAAAUCCCCGGGCUCAACCUGGGAACUGCAUUUGGAACUGGAAGGCUAGAGUGUAGCAGAGGGGGGUAGAAUUCCACGUGUAGCAGUGAAAUGCGUAGAUAUGUGGAGGAAUACCGAUGGCGAAGGCAGCCCCCUGGGCUAACACUGACGCUCAUGCACGAAAGCGUGGGGAGCAAACAGGAUUAGAUACCCUGGUAGUCCACGCCCUAAACGAUGUCAACUAGGUGUUGGGGAAGGAGACUUCUUUAGUACCGUAGCUAACGCGUGAAGUUGACCGCCUGGGGA
rnacentral:rRNA from 1 species